GGUCGUGUGGUCUAGUGGUCAUGACAUCUGCUUUACAUGUCCUGUCAACAGGAGAUAUUCGCAGAGGAUCGCAGGUUCGAUCCCUGCCACGAUCA
rnacentral:tRNA from 1 species